CCUACGGGUGGCAGCAGUAGGGAAUCUUUCACAAUGGGCGAAAGCCUGAUGGAGCAACGCCGCGUGCAGGAUGAAGGCCUUCGGGUUGUAAACUGCUUUUAUAAGCGAGAAAUAUGAUGGUAACUUAUGGAUAAUGAGCGGCUAACUACGUGCCAGCAGCCGCGGUCAUACGUAGGAUCCGAGCAUUAUCCGGAGUGACUGGGUGUAAAGAGUUGCGUAGGUGGCAUAAUAAGUAGCGAGUGAAAUCUGGUGGCUCAACAAUUCAGACUAUUAGCUAAACUGUUAAGCUCGAGACCGUUAGGGGUAACUGGAAUUUCUAGUGUAGGAGUGAAAUCCGUAGAUAUUAGAAGGAACACCAAUAGCGUAGGCAGGUUGCUGGGACGGUUCUGACACUAAGGCACGAAAGCGUAGGGAGCAAACGGGAUUAGAUACCCGGGUAGUC
rnacentral:rRNA from 1 species